rnacentral:rRNA from 1 species
CGGUGUUUAACUGGCGUGAUGUGGGACGUCCUACCGGUGGGCUUAGCCUCGCGAGGGGCGGCCCAACUAAUAUCCCGUCGGCGGUGCUCUUUACUGAGUGUCGAGUCGGGCCGGUACGUUUACUUUGAACAAAUUAGAGUGCUUAAAGCAGGCUAUCCUCGCCUGAAUACUGCGUGCAUGGAAUAAUGGAAUAGGACCUCGGUUCUAUUUUGUUGGUUUUCGGAACCCCGAGGUAAUGAUUAAUAGGGACAGAUGGGGGCAUUCGUAUUGCGACGUUAGAGGUGAAAUUCUUGGAUCGUCGCAAGACGGACAGAAGCGAAAGCAUUUGCCAAAAAUGUUUUCAUUAAUCAAGAACGAAAGUUAGAGGUUCGAAGGCGAUCAGAUACCGCCCUAGUUCUAACCAUAAACGAUGCCAGCUAGCGAUCCGCCGAAGUUCCUCCGAUGACUCGGCGGGCAGCUUCCGGGAAACCAAAGCUUUUGGGUUCCGGGGGAAGUAUGGUUGCAAAGCUGAAACUUAAAGGAAUUGACGGAAGGGCACCACCAGGAGUGGAGCCUGCGGCUUAAUUUGACUCAACACGGGAAACCUCACCAGGCCCAGACACCGGAAGGAUUGACAGAUUGAUAGCUCUUUCUUGAUUCGGUGGGUGGUGGUGCAUGGCCGUUCUUAGUUGGUGGAGCGAUUUGUCUGGUUAAUUCCGAUAACGAACGAGACUCUAGCCUGCUAAAUAGGCGUACCUUAUGGUAUCGCGAAGGCCCCCGGCUUCGGCCGGUGGGUUUUUACUACCAACGUACAAACAAAUCUUCUAGAGGGACAGGCGG